UUUUUUUUUUGCAGUUGUUUCAGUUAUUCAAUUGCACAAGUCAAACCAUACUAUGUAUACACACUAAGCGAGCUGUCUUUUGAGGGGAUAUUUUCUGAUGGUAUGAGCUUGGUGUCAUAGGUUGGGAAUUCUGUUGGUUGUACGCAUGAUGGUCUAGGCAAUUCGUUUAUACUAAAUUUGGUCUUGGUGUUAUCAAAGCAAUAUCGGUACUGUUAAUAUUCGAUUGGUUGUAAAAGGGGAAGUGCAAAUUUUUACUCUAGAAGUUAAUGUGCUAUAUUGUAGGCAAGAUAGUGAAGAUAGAGAUCCAACCUAGGAACCAAAAGAGGUUCAUACAAGUUUUUUUAAACAUCAGCAUUCUAAUAUCUUGAAACAUAAACAAAUAUAUGAAAAAUAAAAUACAAUUUUAAAGUGUUCCAGCAUUAUGUAAAACAACAUGUUUAAGAUGAAUGAUAAACAUAACAUGGAUGAUAAUAAUGAUAAUAAUUAAAAAUGAUUCUUCUAAUUAGGAGUUAAAAUAAAUCUUAUAAUAUAAUCAAAGACAUUCUUAAAUGGUUUGCUAUAAAUCUUAUAAUAUAAAUAUCUUAUGAACCUUGUUGAGACUGAGAUACUGCAUGGGAAGGAGGACGGAUCCUCUGGUCCGCAAAUUGAGGAUUAGAGGAUGAUCCACUUUUUUAGACCCUUGAUUUGGAUGGACCCAUCUAUUUAAAGGUGGAGUUUAUCCAAAUCAAGGGUCCUCAUGCAAGGGACCAUCCCCUGGUCCAUAAUUUGCGGACCAGAGGAUCCCUACUGCAUGGGAAGGGAAGCACACACUAGGCAUUGGGCGUUAGCCAUUAGUCAUUAGAGUCAAAUUGUUUUAUAUGAGCCUAUCCGAAUCUAUUGGGUUAUAAGAUUGUAAUAUCCUAAGGUUCAGCUAACAAUUUAAACUACCAUGAUUGUAGGCACUAAGUUAUGUUGUGCCAUUGUAUUCUUUGAAACCAAGUGGUCUACGUUGUCAUUUGAGGCACUAGAAUACAUCAUCAGUAUCUAUUAUACUAGGAUGUUGUUAUUGAAAUAGAUUAUCACUAAUGCUCAAAAUUCACUCUGGAAUUUGUUCUAUUAUUCUAUUCAAUUGUUUUUAGGUAACCAAGUGAAAACAUAUGCUAAUUUGAAGUAAAAGGAAAAAAGCAUUCAAAUGUCCUAAUUGACCAUUCAACUAUCUGAUACUUUGGUACAAUCGAGGAUAUUAAGAUCAAAUGGUAUAGCCACAAGCACCGGAAGUUCCUAGAUAAUCAGUUACACUAGUUGUAUAGAACUAUUGUUUGGUUUGAACUGUUGUUUAGUAAACCAAGUGAACUUCUUGGAAUAGAACAAAUAAAAGGAAAUGAAGUAUUUUAACUGCAUGGUUGAUGGUUGUCUUAAUAUCUGUUGUGUCUAAAAAAUUAUUUUUUAUCACAAUGCCAAAUCCCUAAUCUACCAUCUACAAUGAAAAUUUGCCAUCCAAUGAUCUUGUAAUGAGAUACCAGAAAUUGGAGAUCUGCGGAGUUUAAAGGAGAUGAUUUUUUUUUUUGUGAAAAAGCCAUUGUGGUAGUAUUUGUUUUUUGAGUUACAUGGUAAUUCUGCUAGUGAGUAUACUUCCUAGUUCGAAUCUCUACUAUAAAAAUGCAAGGGAAGCAAGGUUCAAGUAUAAGUCUAGAUUUUGAAUAUGAAUACACAAAUAAACAAAAUUAUAGUGUAUGUCUUUAUUUGACAUAAGCUUUGCUUAUUUGUAAUUCUUCUCUUGUUGUCUACUAGUUAAUUUGAAGGUUUUGCUGACUGUAAUCUUUCAAGUUUUGUUGAAGUUGCAUUUUGACUUGAUCUAAGAAAUUUUGCAAAAAUUCCCUUUACCUAUUUGUAUGAAUUAAUAUAUUAUACUUUGUACAGUUGCAUACAUAAUCAAAUAGAUUCUAAUCUGUUCCAGUGUAUUUAGUGAAACUAGACUAUUGUUUCAGAUGUUAUGUUAGUUUUUCCGUAGUGCUAAAUUUGGUUUUUCAGGUUGCAAAAAGUACCAUCCUUUGACUUGGCUCAAAUUGGCUUUAAUCUUGGUUGAGACAAGUCAGGGCAUGGGGGAAGUGAUGGAUUGCAUGGAUAUGUUGAUUCCCUUGAUUAUGCAAUCAGUGAUUUGAAAGCAUUUCUGCAAAAGGUUUUGGCAGAGAAUCCUAGGCUACCUUGCUUUUGCUUCGGCCAUUCAACCGGUGGAGCUAUUGUUCUGAAGGCGAUUUGUGAUCCAAAGAUAGAAGGCUGGAUUAGUGGUAUCGCAUUGACAUCACCGGCUGUCUAUGUUCACCCUUCACAUCCGAUAAUAACGACAAUAGUAGCUCCAGUUUUCUGUCUUCUAGCCCCGAAGUACCAAUUUAGCAGCGCAAGUAAUAGCACAUCACCAGUUUCCCGCGAUCCUGAAGCCCUCAAGCACAAGUACACCGACCCGCUGGUGUUCACUGGCUCUGUCCGAGUCAAGACUGGUUAUGAGAUCUUGCGCUCAUCAGCCUACCUGAAGCAGAAUCUGUACAGAGUUACUGUCCCUUUCCUAGUGCUCCAUGGGACUUCCGACGAUCUGACCGACCCCAAAGGUUCUCAAAGAUUGUUCGAUGAAGCUUCCUCGACCGACAAGUCCAUCAAACUAUACCCAGGGCUUCUACAUGAUCUUCUUAUCGAACCUGAACGCGUUGAGAUUAUGGCAGACAUUAUCGACUGGUUCAGCUGCAGAGUUCAUCAGUCUGACUGUGUUUGGGCAAGUGAAUAACUCUGAUUAACAUCAAGGCGACUAGUUCAUUGAGCCGACCUCUGUUUUUUUCUUCUUGGUUGGCCAGUUUUUAGUCUAAAAAGAUAAACAACAACCGAUGUAGCCAGCCAGUAGCUGACAAUUAUAUAUAUAGUUACAUGGUCACUACAAGAAAAUUUCCAAUAUGAAGAUAUAUAUAUAUAUAUAUAUAUAUAUAUAUAUAUAUAUAUAUAUGAAGAGAUUGAAUCUGGAAAUCAUCAGAUUUCUCUUCUUGGAUGGCAAUGCACCAAGCAGGAUUAUGUUUAACUAUGAAUGUCAUUUCCUGGACCAUAGGAAGAAUGAUCUGUAUGGUUUCAUGUGAACCUUUCUAAGUACUUAAGAACAUUGUAUUUUAAUUAACUGAACCUUUUCCAAAUAGCAGAGGCUUAUUAGUUGACGUUUCA